rnacentral:rRNA from 1 species
GUGGGGAAUCUUCCGCAAUGGACGAAAGUCUGACGGAGCAACGCCGCGUGAGUGAAGAAGGUUUUCGGAUCGUAAAGCUCUUUCGUUAGGGACGAACGUGCUUUUUGUAAAUAAUGAGGAGUAAUGGCGGUACCUAAAUAAGAAGCCACGGCUAACUACGUGCCAGCAGCCGCGGUAAUACGUAGGUGGCAAGCGUUGUCCGGAAUUAUUGGGCGUAAAGCGCGCGCAGGCGGGAUAUCAAGUCUGUCUUAAAAGUGCGAGGCUCAACCUCGUGAGGGGACAGAAACUGGUAUUCUUGAGUGUCGGAGAGGAAAGUGGAAUUCCAAGUGUAGCGGUGAAAUGCGUAGAGAUUUGGAAGAACACCAGUGGCGAAGGCGACUUUCUGGACGAUGUCUGACGCUGAGGCGCGAAAGCUAGGGGAGCGAACGGGAUUAGAAACCCGAGUAGUCC